CCUACGUGAGGCAGCAGUGAGGAAUAUUGGUCAAUGUGCGCGAGCCUGAACCAGCCAAGUAGCGUGAAGGAUGACUGCCCUACGGGUUGUAAACUACUUUUAUAAAAGAAUAAAGUGAGGCACGUGUGCCUUUUUGUAUGUACUUUAUGAAUAAGGAUCGGCUAACUCAGUGCCAGCAGCCGCGGUAGUACGGAGGACCCGAGCGUUAUCCGGCUUUAUUGGGUUUACAGGGAGCGUAGAUGGGUUGUUAAGUCAGUUGUGAAAGUUUGCGGCUCAACCGUAAAAUGGCAAUUGAUACUGGCAGUCUUGAGUACAGUUGAGGUAGGCGGAAUUCGUGGUGUAGCGGUGAAAUGCUUAGAGAUCACGAAGAACUCCGAUGGCGAAGGCAGCUUACUAAACUGCCAAUGACAUUGAUGCUCGAAAGUGUGGGGAUCAAACAGGAUUAGAUACCCGAGUAGUC
rnacentral:rRNA from 1 species